CCCGCCGUAGCUCAGCGGCAGAGCGCCCGGCUGUAGUGAGGCGGGCGCCUAUAUAGAAACCGGGUGGUCGGGGGUUCAAGUCCCCCCGGCGGGA
rnacentral:tRNA from 1 species